rnacentral:rRNA from 1 species
AGGACGAACGCUGGCGGCGUGCUUAACACAUGCAAGUCGAGCGGUAAGGCCCUUUCGGGGGUACACGAGCGGCGAACGGGUGAGUAACACGUGAGCAAUCUGCCCUUCACUUCGGGAUAAGCCUCGGAAACGGGGUCUAAUACCGGAUAUGACCGCGCUACGCAUGUGGUGUGGUGGAAAGUUCUGGCGGUGGAGGAUGAGCUCGCGGCCUAUCAGCUUGUUGGUGGGGUAAUGGCCUACCAAGGCUUCGACGGGUAGCCGGCCUGAGAGGGUGACCGGCCACACUGGGACUGAGACACGGCCCAGACUCCUACGGGAGGCAGCAGUGGGGAAUAUUGGACAAAUGGGCGAAAGCCUGAUCCAGCAACGCCGCGUGAGGAUGACGGCCUCGGUUGUAAACCGUACUUCUAGCGCGACGAAGACGAGAGUGACGGUAGGCGCAGAAGAAGACACCGGACCGAACCUAACGUACGCCACGCAGCCGC